UAAUCUAACACUUUUCUGCUACACCUAAGGCCCACUUCUUUUGGUUCUGCGCUCAAAUGAUGCAGAGGGAUGGAGAGGCAGAGGCCAUGCCCAGAGUGACAUUUUCACUAGUUUAUAGCACACACCUACCGUAUGGAAGACCUCUGUGAGGUCCUGCUAAGGACGUCAUUAGAAGGUUGAAGACACAGUUCCGAGAGCCCUUCCAUCUCCCUCCUUCCCACCUCCGCAGAGUGCUGUACCAUUUCUCCUGCCCCGAGUGCCCAUCCUCCUAGUCUACCCAUCCUUAAGCCCCAACCCUUAAAGUUGAAACAGCGCCAGCCAGAUCUGAUUCCUCUCCCCUCUGAAUGCCCAGCAUAUUCAGUCUGCACCUUUCUCGCGGCACAGCCUGUGGCCUCAUAUUCUAGUGAUCUGUUUACUAAUCUUGUUCUUCUAACCAGAUUAAAAAGUCCUUGAGGUCCUUGAGGCAGAAACAAAGUCUGCCUCUUCGAGGCCUCCCCCCAUCGCUUGAGCUCAUCCCCCACAGGCCAAGCUUGGCACUGGAGUUGAUGUUCAGUAAAUGUUGGGUGUAUUGAAAUGAUUUCCUGCCCUUGGGCAGAUUGCAGACCAGUGGAAGAGACAAACACAGAGCUCGUGAAGUUAAAUAAUAACCCAAGGCAGCAGGUGGGCUCCCAGCUCUCCAAAAGGCUGGUACAGUUUGUUACGCUGGGGCCGGAAUGUACCGUGUGUUUCAUAUGGCCUCUGUCCAGUCCAACACCGGCUGCUUUAUAUUUAUACUUCCUUCUUCAGCUGUGGCAUCCUGCUGGCAGUCAGUCACCCCUGCUCUCAUCUGCCCACCUCCCACCUGGGCCCUGCACCCCACCGUAAGUCAGUCCUUGGGUUCUAAACUCUUGUGAGAGGGUGGAGUGGGGUGCAGAGAACACCCUGGAGGACAGAAGUCGGACUCCAAAAGGGUAAAAGCCCCAGUCCCUGUUCUCUCUCCUAUCACCCAGCCCUGCAACAGCCUCCGAGGUCAUGGACCCUCCAGUUUGGGUCUCAUGGUUCUCUGUGGCCUUGAGGUUGAUCCUCCAUUCCUUGCCCCUCUUGUUUACCCAAGCACUUCAGAAAUAUUCUUGAGCCUGGCUGGACAAGUGAGCAACAGGCUCUAUUUAUGUUGCCUCCCCAAAAGCUUGGCAGACCUCUUAAUCCAUGAUCCUCCCCCAUCAGUC